CAUCAUGCCCCUUAUGAUUUGGGCUACACACGUGCUACAAUGGACAAUACAAAGGGCAGCGAAACCGCGAGGUCAAGCAAACCCCAUAAAGUUGUUCUCAGUUCGGAUUGUAGUCUGCAACUCGACUACAUGAAGCUGGAAUCGCUAGUAAUCGUAGAUCAGCAUGCUACGGUGAAUACGUUCCCGGGUCUUGUACACACCGCCCGUCACACCACGAGAGUUUGUAACACCCGAAGCCGGUGGAGUAACCUUUUAGGAGCUAGCCGUCGAAGGUGGGACAAAUGAUUGGGGUGAAGUCGUAACAAGGUAGCCGUAUCGGAAGGUGCGGCUGGAUCACCUCCUUUCUAAGGA
rnacentral:rRNA from 1 species